rnacentral:rRNA from 1 species
GAUGAACGCUGGCGGCGUGCUUAACACAUGCAAGUCGAGCGAAGCGGCUGAAUUGAUUCUUCGGAUGAUUUUCAGUUGACUGAGCGGCGGACGGGUGAGUAACGCGUGGGUGACCUGCCCCAUACCGGGGGAUAACAGCUGGAAACGGCUGCUAAUACCGCAUAAGCGCACAGAGCUGCAUGGCUCGGUGUGAAAAACUCCGGUGGUAUGGGAUGGGCCCGCGUCUGAUUAGGCAGUUGGCGGGGUAACGGCCCACCAAACCGACGAUCAGUAGCCGGCCUGAGAGGGCGACCGGCCACAUUGGGACUGAGACACGGCCCAAACUCCUACGGGAGGCAGCAGUGGGGAAUAUUGCACAAUGGGGGAAACCCUGAUGCAGCGACGCCGCGUGAGCGAAGAAGUAUUUCGGUAUGUAAAGCUCUAUCAGCAGGG